rnacentral:rRNA from 1 species
UACGGAGGGGGCGAGCGUUAUUCGGAAUUAUUGGGCGUAAAGGGCGCGUAGGCGGCCUUGUAAGUCAAAGGUGAAAUCCCUCGGCUCAACUGAGGAACUGCCUUUGAAACUGCAAGGCUUGAGGCCGGGAGGGGGUAGCGGAAUUCCCAAUGUAGCGGUGAAAUGCGUAGAUAUCAAGAGGAACACCAGUGGCGAAGGCGAGUCCCUGGACAACUUCUGACGCUGAGGCACGAAAGCUAGGGGAGCAAACAGG